UAUAAUCAAUCCCCAUGGGUUUCAUUACCUGGCGGUGGACUUGGACUUGGGUGUCUGCCAUCUGGGCUCACCUCAAAGAUGUUAGCGGGAUAAGCUGCCUGUGGCUCGACGUGAUAAGUUUCGUCGGACCUGGCUCCCUAUGCCCGCUCAUAACCUGCCCUUGGGCAACACUGUAU
rnacentral:misc_RNA from 1 species